rnacentral:rRNA from 1 species
GACGUAGGGCGCGAGCGUUUGUCCGGAUUUAUUGGGCGUAAAGAGCUCGUAGGCGGUUUGUCGCGUCGGGAGUGAAAACUCAGGGCUUAACCCUGAGCCUGCUUCCGAUACGGGCAGACUAGAGGUAUGCAGGGGAGAAUGGAAUUCCUGGUGUAAGCGGUGAAAUGCGCAGAUAUCAGGAGGAACACCGGUGGCGAAGGCGGUUCUCUGGGCAUUACCUGACGCUGAGGAGCGAAAGUGUGGGGAGCGGACAGG